ensembl:ncRNA F52F12.16 ncRNA
CAAUUCGAAUGGUUGUAUGGAGAAGAAGGUGGGGUGCCCACUAAAUUUGCAUUUUAAUGUCAUUCACUUCUCUCAACACAAGGCGCGAAAUGCGUGUCUCUUUUCUUUUCUUUAUGAGGUGCACGAUAGGGGGAUAUGGAAGGAGAGAGA